UUACAGUAUCAUUUGCAAAACUCAACAAGGAAAGAUGCCUGUGGAUGGCCGUGUUCUGGGAGUCACUGUGAUGAGGUGCUGCCUGCUUUCGCCCAACCUGAUCUGGGGCUCAGACAGCUAACAGGCCCGAGUGGCUAGGAGCCAGGUUCUCACACGUCCCUGAGGAACUAGAGAGGAACGCCUCUGGGAAGCCCAGCCAGAGCCAACUGGAAGGGCCUUUUGGUGAAGUCUGACAUCCUACAUUAGUUUCUCUGGACCUGGCCUCGCAGGAGUUUCCAGCUCAUGAGGGCAGAGGAGAUGAAGAGAGGCCGAUCGACGUGAGGGUCGUGCAGGUGGCCCCUCUGAGGUGUGACUCCAGUAAGUACUCUGGAAUUACUUGCUGAGAAAGAAAAGUCUGGAUGUCAAGAAAGGUGUGACAUCCUUGCUGGCUUCAAUGUGAAGAGCCACCCUGAUUCUGGGAUUCUGAUAGGAAUAAGGGUAGUGGACUUUUUUUUUUAAGUUCUCCAGGCAAAAAUUAUGACCAAAUGUCUCCAUCUGAUGAAGCAGCUGCAUUCCUAUGGGGGCGGUGGGCUGUGCGCUUGCCUGGUGUCUUAUGAGUCUGCAUCGUGUGAUAUGAUUGUGUGUGUUUUCGUAUAGGGGAGGCUGUGUGUUUUCUCAGGAGAGAUUUUCCAUUUACACAGCACAAUUGCCAGUCUCCACUUCUAAAAAGUAAAAUCCACCCCUGUUCUACUCUCUCCAUACAUGACUAAUUCACCCGUGCCAGAGCCACCUUUCAUUACCCUCACUGCUCAGGUGGAGAAUCUGAAGGGCCAAUGGGAGUGGCCCCAGCUUUGGAGCUCCUGAAUGAAAAAGUCAAAACAUGAGCUCAGGUGUGUGGCCCAAUGCUGACAGUCACCUGCUGACAUGCACUUAUGCGUCAGUCACAGGGUGUUCAUCACCAUGCAGGAGUCCAGCAUUCAUGUACAAGCCCUAAAGCACUGAGCCUGAGAGAUCCCAGACUCUGCCCAUCACCAUAAAGUGACCUCCAUGGUCACAUAACCCAGAGCAGUUAUAGGCACAUCUUCCUACAGACCAGCAUAGUCCUCAGUGUCAAAAGCACAAAGAUCCCCGGAUGUUUUGGGUCAGCUCACAGGUUCUAAGAUGUGGGGGACCAUAUAGAACAGUUCUGAAGUUAUUUUGCUCAGCAGCUGGCCAAAGCUUAUAAGGAUCAGUGAUAUAUUUCAGUAGAUUUAGUAAUGUUCACAAGCCCUAAAAUGCUCAAAACCUGCCAGCUAAAAAUGGUGAAGAGAGACAGAUAAGAACACUGCUCCACUCAGUGUGGUUUCCGUUGCCUCGUGGCAACUCUGUUAUACAUCUGGAUUAAGGACCCUCAGCCUCAACCUAACCUUUCCUCCAUGAGGAACCGUCUCACUGUUAACUGACUAGUGUAGCCUGCCUGGCCAUUAGCCUACGUGAAAUAAAGUUUUGCUUUAAAACAAGUGUAAAUCUCAUACAGCAGAUAAGUGCAGUAGCAGCAGCAUCUUGCAAGUUGUAAAGAAGAUAGCGGCGAUGUAGCUGGACUUGAAGCCAGACAGGAGGAAUUAGG
rnacentral:lncRNA from 1 species